UCUCUCUCUGCCCCUCCCCUGUUCAUGCUCUGUCUCUCUCUGUCUCAAAAAUAAAUAAAAACAUCAAAAAAUUAAAAAAAAUAAAAUAAAAAUGUGAAUUCAGUACUACAAUGGGCCAAUGAGUAUGCUAAUUUACAUUCAUUAUUCAGUUCACUCCCCAUCAGUAACCUAUUUAGUAGGGAUUUUCAAUAUAAAGAAAUGAAGAAAAAACCCCUGGAGAUACUGAUAUGUUUAGUGAUUUAUAUAGGACCAUGUGAAAAAUUUGAAAAGUUGAAAGUACCACCAUGUUCUAUGUAAUAUACAGUGAUUUUUCUGUAAUACCUUGAAGUCAUGGUACAUAAGCAUGAAAAUGUCCAACCUACUUUGUAUGGACUAAUUCAUAUGAUUUUCACAACUACUCUAGGAGGUAGUUGGGACUAUUAUACUCAUAUUACAGAUGGAAAAAAAAAAAACAAAAAACUGUGGCUCAGAGAGGUUAGAUUUUGUCCCAAAGUAAGGUAGAAAGAGAAUUUGAACUCAGGUAGUCUGACAGAAGAAACUGGUCAGUAACAUCUGUGCUUUGUGUAAACAAAUUAAAAACCAGAUAAUGAUGAUCACAAAAGUAAAAUUAAUUCUGCAAAUUCAUGGUAAGCCAACAUCUACUAGGUUUGUAAAUUGUGGUCAUUUGAUCAAAAUUUGAAAUGCAUCAAGGUGUCUCCAACUUGCCAAAGCCACUGUUAAAGAGAGAAAAAAGAAGUGACUAUAUACACAAUCUCUUCUUCAUUUAUCAUCAACUAAGACUAUCCACCCCCUAAAUUUUUUAUUUGUAGAAAAGUGCGAAUGGCACCCUGAAAUAAUUCUUAAUUCACCAUUUAGAAACAAAACAGGAGAAUGAUCCAAAUUACUUUUUAAUUUAAUCAUAAAUUUCAAAGAUUUAAGGUUGAAAAGUUUAGAUGAAAUACAAGUAGAUAAAAUAUAUCAUCUUUGAAAUGUGUUUGCAAAACAUUCUUCUUUAACAUCUCAUUUAACUUUGAUUGGGAUUUAUUUGUCAUUAACGGGACAAAAGUCCAAUGUGAAAAAUAUUCCUAGCUCAUACAUAUUCCUAAGAAAUAUUUAUUAUGUUUGUUUGAGGUAGUAUUGUGGUCUUCUUGGCCCCUUGUACAGUGUUUAACACAUGGUGGAAAGAUGUUUGUCAACCAAAUGAAUAAGUGAUAUGUAUCCCAUGAUGUUUUAUACAUGUUGUUUGUAGUUGGUCUUCUUUCUUUGUAGGAAGACUUUUCUCUUUUCAGAGGUAGUACUUGUAUGUAAUAUGUUUUUGAGUCAGGGUCCCCUGAUUGACAGUGUGCCUGAGGUCAGGGCUGGUCUUUCAUUCUCUGUGGUGCCCCUAUUUCUUUGCAUACUAUGUCACAAAAUGCAGAAGCUCACCGUAUAUUUGAUUAAUGAAAGGACUUGAUAUCCAGGGAAGAUAAGAAUUGUGCAAUUUAUGAUGUAAUCUGAUGUUGCAUCACACAAUAAAGUGGUAUUUAGGGCCUAAAAGAAAAAGAGUUGAACACUUGCUUUUCAUAGCAUUAUUUUUCUAACUUUCUUCUAUUCUUAUACUCUCUCUGUUGUAUUUUUUUUACCUGAUAAAAUGUUUUUGAAAAUUGAAAUAUCUGCCUUUUCUCCUUUCUCCUUCUUAGCAACUGCCAAUUCCAAAGGCUUCAAUUUUAAUGUUCAAGUCCCUUUUCAAAAUAAAAUUGAAAAUAUGUCCCUUGGUUGAGUGUGCACAUUUAAGAAGAAAAGCUUAUAAUAGUUUUCAGUAUUAGUGCUUUUUAAAAGCUAAAUGGAUUUAAAAAAUAAUAAAACUUCUUUAUUGGAUAUCCAACAACCAUAAGAAAAAAAUAACAAAAAAUACAAAAAAAAUAAGAGGCUGAAUGGUCUUGACAGCUACGCUGAAUGAGGCACUACACUGCAGAGAAAGCCAUGAAUAAUGAAGGGCUUUUCUGGAAUGAUUAGAAAGGUGAAGGCCAGUGCCUUGGAAAAUUAUUCCAAGUGUCUUUAUCAAUCCAAAAUGUCUCUGUCUAUCAUCUACUGCUUUUUUGCCACAAUAAAAAUAAUGUUACUGCUGAUGUACAGGCUUUAAAGGAGAGGGAUGACUUGGGAGUUGGGGGCUUGUGAUUUCCUAGAGUGACCCCUUGUCACAAUUAUGCAAUCUAGGUCUCACAAUUUCCAAAGACAGAGGACAUAUUUUUAUGUAUAUAUUUGUUUAUUUUGAGAGAGAGAGAGAGAGAGAGAGAGAGAGAGAGAGAAACACGCACGUGCCAGUGAAAGGGGGGGAUGGGCAGAGAAAGAGGGAGAGAGAAUCCCCAAGUAGGCUCCACACUGUCAGCACAGAGCUGGAUGUGGGGCUCCAUUCAAACUGUGAGAUCACAACCUUAGCUCAUCUCAAGAGUCUGAGGUACUCAAACCACUGAGCCCCCCAGGCGCCCCCAGAGGACAUCUUAUGUGGGUGAAUCGAUAUUAUUUUGUUGGCUUCAUAUCGCUGACACUCCCAACCGGAGCGAUUAGAAAGGGCUCUGAAGGAGCCAGUGAAAUCACCUUCAUAGACAUAACAUUUCAAGGAGAGAAAGGGAAGGGGAUGAGUAUUUAUGUUUUUUGAUUUGUACAUUUGCCAGUUACAUAUAUUUCCUAUAAUGCUCACUUUUGUCCUUUAAGAUAUCUAUAUCUAUAUUGACAUAUAGAUAUAAUUAGUAUCUCAUCUUACAAAUGGGGAAACAAAGCUCAGAAUGGUCAGUUUGGCCAAAAACAUUAAAUAAUUGAGACUAAUGCCUUCACUUUAUUAAUUCUAUCAUUUACUUGUCUUUUAUAGUUAUUGAGUGCCCACCAUGUGCAAGUAGUAUUCUAGAGCAGGGAUUGGCAAACUUGUUUCUGUAAAGGAUCAGAUAGUAAAUAUUUUUGGUUUGUGAGCAUAUGGUCUCUCGUAUAUGGACUCAACUCAGCCAAAGUAGCCAUCCUAUGAACAGGCCUUGUGUUAUAAUACAGUUUUAUUUACACUUAUAAGGAGUGGGCUGUUUUUGACCAAUUCUUGUUCUAGACCCUGAAGAUACUGUAGUAACAAAAUAAAGUGCCCCAUAUAUGCUACCAUGAGGAGGCAGAUGACAGAUACAUAAGCAACAUAUUAGGUGAUAAUAAAUGCAUAAAGCAAAAUAAGUCAGAAUGCGAGGAUAGAGAUGGAAUCUUCUUUCAUGGUAUCAGUCAUUCUCUAUUCAUAUUGAGUGUUACUUAGAAGUAUACCCUGGAGUUUUCUUUAUUGAUGUUCUUAAAUCAAACGUUCUCUCAACUCAGUGUCCCUAAGCUAUUCUGAUAUAACCCUAAAACUUCAAAAUAUCCAAAUAGUUGACAGAUCAGAACUCCUGGUUGUUACAUCUAAUAGAAAUAUCCUCAAUCACUUUAAUAUAUUCCAGUUUCUUCUUUCCUAAAACUGUUUCUUCUCAUAUCUUCUGGUAUAUGUAGGUCUUGGUUCUUUACUUCACUAGCUGGCUCUUCACUUUAGACUUGCUCUGCUCAAUUUCAUAAAGCUAGCCUUUAGCACUCUUCUCAGUCUGUAAUCUUUCUUCCAGGGACCUCAGUGACUUCCAUGACUUUAGCUGCCACCUUUAGAAUCCAUUUCCCAAACCUUCCUCUCUUGCACAAAUUUAUCUCCUCAAUUUUGAACUCAUCUUUUCAGCUCCUAUGGAAAAUUUCCCUUUGUGUGCCCUACAGUUGCCUCAAACUGAACAGCCCAGAAAGAAACAGACCUAAAAACAUUGUUUCUCUUCCUCUAUGCUCUUUCUGGAUAGAUAGUUUGCCAGUCGCCCAGUCCUGAGGUUGAUUUGCUGAUUCAUGGGCAGAGUUGGAAGUUAAGUUAACCAUAAUUAUGUAAGACCAAUAAUGGUAAAAACUCACAUGCUCAACAUUAUGUUGUAGAAAAAGCAAUGACUGAGUAGUUGGCAAAAACAGAUUCCCACUCCAGUUAUACCAUCGACUAAGUGAUCUACAAUCAUGCAACUUCUUGGAAACUUUGUUCCCUUAUCAUUAUUAUAUCUAGGAUCAUCCUACCUUCUUCCAAACCACAACAUGAAUGUGAAAUAAAACAUAGAUCUGUAAUUGUUAGUACAAUAUAAAUUCGCAAAGAAAAAGUACUUCCCUCUCAUCUCCGCUCCUUUCUGAUUUUAACUGUUUUAACGUGAUCUUAUUUGAGCUUGUAAUAAGGAAGGGAAAUAUAGACAUAUUGAGAUGAAUAUAACUAGGUCCUAAGUUUAGCACUGUUAAAUGUGCAUAGGUGUGAGUCAUAGGGAGGGGAGGGAGAACAUGUAAACAAAUAAUUCAAUAAAGUGUGACACAAAACUACAUGUGUUAGUUCAAAUUCCAACUCCUAUUCAUUCAAGGUUAUUCCAGUCUUAUAAUUAAGCAGGGUAAUAAAAAGCAGACAUUCAUUGUUAACACUAUCAGAUAAUGCUGCUGAUUAUUUUCUUUAUAAACUAUUACACAUACACUUACCAAAAAUCUGUCACAUCAAGAGUAAUGAAAUGAAUAACUGACAUCAGAUGUUGUUUUGAAGUGACUUAUGGAAGUGGUCACUGAAUCUUCUGUGAUCGUAGGCAAAUUAAUUAAAUUCUCUCAUCCUUAUGGAAAUAAUAGCACCAGAAGUAUUUUAGGAAGUUAAAUAAGAUAAUAGAUGUGAUUUCUUACCACAGGGAAUGGCACACAGUAAGCAUUUGUUGUUGACGUUAUAAUUAGAUUGACAAAUUCAUUUGUGUUAUUCUCAGUCUGAGAUAGAAUAUCCUUGUUGUAUGUAUGUAUGUAUGUAUGUAUGUAUGUAUGUAUGUAUGUAUUUACUUACUUAUGUCCUGAACUAAUUCAGCCUUUCUUGGUUUCCCCCAUUAGAAUGAAGCUAAUGCAUUCUCUUCCCUUACCCAUGUUACUUGGAUGAAGUAAUUGCAUCCAAGCUUCCUACAGGAGCCACGGGGGGAACUUGAGAUGGGAUUUUAGUCAGAACUGCUGAAAGGAAACUGUCUUUGGCUUAUGAGGAUGGGGGCAGUUCAGUUGGUUGUUAUUACUGCGAUGUGACUUAAUCUUCCUUUUUACCCAUUGUCAUGUAGAUAAAAUAACAAUAAAAAUGAUACCACAGGAGAGGAAAAUAUAUACCUCUCUAGUUCUCCUUUUCUUUGUCCCAGCCAGCCUCUCAUUUAUUUGACAAGGAAGGACAAUUAUCCUUCGCUCUAAUCUCUAUAGCUUGUGUUGCUUAUUUAUUAUUUUAAUUGGCAGUGAAUCCUGGGGACAAAGCAUAUCUCAGGCAAUCAGGCAUUACUUUAUACAGCACUCGGAAGGCAUAGGACAUUGUGCCAAAUGUUUCACCAACCAAUGGGCUCUCCCAAAGGAAAAUGAGAAACUCUCCAGCUGUCGCUGCUAUAUUAGAAUCCAUCACCGUGUUCUGGACAGCAGGAAUAGCUGGAAGGCAUGGACAAAUCUGGAAGAUGUUUAAAAAGAGAAACAAAAAUGAACAGCCAGAGGAAGAAAGGAUUAGUUAAACCAAAAGCAAACUGUGAAUCCAUUUCCCUAGGGCAAGGCAACUUGGGACAGUGCCGUUUUGCUUCAUUCUUUGAAGCAAAUGUAAAAUAAAUCACGGUAUAUGUCCACGUGGAGCGUAGGGCCUGGAGGAGAGAAUGCAUCUUCCAGAAAUGGCUCUCAUCACCAACAUUCAUGCUUCUCAAACCAGAGCUGGCAUACUCCUGGCAACUGAAGACAGAAGGCUGGAUGUAUAUGAUGUGCAAAAGAGGGGGAUAUAUCUUUAAAAAUUAUAACUACUAUUGAGCAUACAUUAUAAUAUUAUACAUAAUAACUUUACCUUCAUAUUAAACCAAUGGAGUAGUUUUUUUUGUUUCUUUCAUGCUUUCCUACUGAUGAGGAAAGUGAAGCUCAAAGUGUUGUAAAUAACUGGCUCUAGGACACACAGCUAGUAAAUGGAAAAUGUGGGUUCAAACCCAUGCUGCAGUAUUACAAAGCCUGAUUCCUUGCCUCCCCUGCUUAAUUGCUUUUAAUCAGUAAUAACUAACUUAAAACAUAAUUUAAAAAUAAACUUGCUAUAUCCUA